rnacentral:rRNA from 1 species
AUUGAACGCUGACAGCAUGCUUAACACAUGCAAGUCUACCAAGAAUCACUUCGGUGAGGAAUGGUGGCGGACGGGUGAGUAACGCGUAAAUAAUCUGCCCUUUAGACUGGGAUAUCCUUUGGAAACGAAGGUUACUACCGGAUAUUAUGAGAUGGACGCAUGUUCAACUUAUGAAAGCUAAAUGCACUAGAGGAGGAGUUUGCGUCCCAUUAGCUAGUUGGUGAGGUAAAGGCGCACCAAGGCCACGAUGGGUAGCCGGCCUGAGAGGGUGAACGGCCACAAGGGAACUGAGAUACGGUCCUUACUCCUACGGGAGGCAGCAGUGGGGGAUAUUGGACAACAGACCAAAAGUCUGAUCCAGCAAUUCUGUGUGCACGAUGAAGGUCUUCGGAGUGUAAAGUGCUUUCAGUAGGGAAGAAAAAAUGACGGUACCUACAGAAGAAGCGACGGCUAAAUAUGUGCCAGCAGCCGCAGUAA